AUUGAACGCUGGCGGCAGGCUUAACACAUGCAAGUCGAACGGUAACAUAAAGAAGCUUGCUUCUUUGAUGACGAGUGGCGGACGGGUGAGUAAUGCUUGGGAAUCUAGCUUAUGGAGGGGGAUAACUACGGGAAACUGUAGCUAAUACCGCGUAGAAUCGGGAGAUGAAAGUGUGGGACCUUCGGGCCACAUGCCAUAGGAUGAGCCCAAGUGGGAUUAGGUAGUUGGUGAGGUAAAGGCUCACCAAGCCGACGAUCUCUAGCUGGUCUGAGAGGAUGACCAGCCACACUGGGACUGAGACACGGCCCAGACUCCUACGGGAGGCAGCAGUGGGGAAUAUUGCGCAAUGGGGGCAACCCUGACGCAGCCAUGCCGCGUGAAUGAAGAAGGCCUUCGGGUUGUAAAGUUCUUUCGGUAGCGAGGAAGGCAUUUAGUUUAAUAAACUGGAUGAUUG
rnacentral:rRNA from 1 species